UACGUAGGGCGCAAGCGUUGUCCGGAAUCAUUGGGCGUAAAGGGCUCGUAGGCGGUUUGUCGCGUCUGCCGUGAAAGCCCGGGGCUUAACUCCGGGUCUGCGGUGGAUACGGGCAGACUAGAGGCAGGUAGGGGAGAACGGAAUUCCCGGUGUAGCGGUGAAAUGCGCAGAUAUCGGGAGGAACACCGGUGGCGAAGGCGGUUCUCUGGGCCUGCACUGACGCUCAUGCACGAAAGCGUGGGGAGCAAACAGG
rnacentral:rRNA from 1 species